AGCAUUUGGACAUCUGCCACCCGGAGGGCACUGCUCCCUCUUUUUCUUCAUCUCACCAUCCUGCCCGGCCUGGCAGCAGCCGUGGGCAGCCUCCCAUGACGCAAGCGGGUGACCGAGCUUACUCUGAGAGGCGCUGCGGCCAGGAUUGGAAGGAGGAGGGAGGCACACACUUUGAAUUUAGCCCAAGCAGAUCAAGCAGGUUAUAUUUGGAAACCAGGCCAGUGGAGUUGGCCGAGUGCGCAGCAUCAGGCAGCACAAGGUGAACAAGAAUCCAAACCAGACCAUCGCGGAGUCUGCUCCCGGCCGCCCUGGGUUAGAGUCCAGGUUCUGGAGCCCCCCUGAGAGAACCAAAGCAUCACCCAGAGGCACCACCUCGUGGCGAAGCAUCGGCUCAAAGGACCCUUCGCAUGAGACCCUUGACAAUGGCUCCUCUGGCCUAAAACGGGAUCUGGACUCACAACCGUGGUGCUCAAGCUCCUGUCUCGCCUGCAAAAGGCCAGUAUCAACCAUCUAACCAUCCCAUCCGGGCCUCGUUUUCUGGGCGUUCCCACACGGGCGCUGGACGUGACCGUCUCCCGCGCUCGGCCUGCCGGGGGCUCUGAGAAGUCAGUGCGGCCAGCCCGGUUCUAUAGGCGUGGACCUGAGGUUUGGAAAGAUGAGGGCACUCUUCUGGGACCUCACAGCUGGGAAGUGGC
rnacentral:lncRNA from 1 species